UUCUGAACCUUGUACAGAACUGGGCUUUACACAACUGGGUGUUUUCAGGUACUCCAUCAGAGGAGCAGCUCUUCCAUGGGGUCCAGCAGCGUUUCCAGUCGCAGGUAUACAUAUUGUCUGAAACUAUGUACUCCUCCUUGCGACGAGCCAGACGACAAGAGCAAAGGCUCCCCCUUGCAAGCUCGAUGGUAGCGGCGGCGUCUUCUUCGCAGCAGUACGAAGAGAUCACAAUCUUACUAAGAUCCUGUUCCUGGGCGGGUUAGUGGCUCUCGACCACAACCACCACCACCAGUAGCCGGCGGCCGAAGUGGACCAGCGCGGCGGCCGAAUCGGGGGCGAAGUGGACCAGCGCUACGGCGGUGGGUGGCAGAAUUGGGGGCAAAUUGGACCAGCGUGGCGGCGGUGGACGGCGGAAUCGGGGGCAAAGUGGACCAGCGCAACGACGGUGGGUGGCGGAGGCCCUGCUCGUGGGUGGGCAGCGGAGGUCCUCCUGGGCGGGCUCGUCGGCGGCACAGGGCCUGUUGUGGGCGGCCUCCUGGGCGGGCUCGUCGGCAGAGCAGGACCUGCUCGGGCAACGGGCGGCUGGCCAUGGCGCCGCGCGGGCGACGGACGGAGGAGGAAGAACGAGAUGGGGACUAAUUUGUCUGAGCUUUAGAAGUUCAAGGGCUUUUCCACAAAAACAUCACUGUACUGCACGUGCGACAUGUUUUUCAGG